AACGAACGCUGGCGGCAGGCUUAACACAUGCAAGUCGAACGGUAAGGCCCUUCGGGGUACACGAGUGGCGAACGGGUGAGUAACACGUGGGUGAUCUGCCCUGCACUUCGGGAUAAGCCUGGGAAACUGGGUCUAAUACCGGAUAGGACCCUGGGAUGCAUGUCCUGGGGUGGAAAGCUUUUGCGGUGUGGGAUGGGCCCGCGGCCUAUCAGCUUGUUGGUGGGGUGAUGGCCUACCAAGGCGACGACGGGUAGCCGGCCUGAGAGGGUGACCGGCCACACUGGACUGAGAUACGGCCCAGACUCCUACGGGAGGCAGCAGUGGGGAAUAUUGCACAAUGGGCGCAAGCCUGAUGCAGCGACGCCGCGUGAGGGAUGACGGCCUUCGGGUUGUAAACCUCUUUCAGCACCGACGAAGCGCAAGUGACGGUAGGUGCAGAAGAAGGACCGGCCAACUACGUGCCAGCCGCCGCGGUAA
rnacentral:rRNA from 1 species